AGAGUUUGAUCCUGGCUCAGGAUGAACGCUAGCUACAGGCUUAACACAUGCAAGUCGAGGGGCAGCAUGUUGGUUGCUUGCAACCAACGAUGGCGACCGGCGCACGGGUGAGUAACGCGUAUCCAACCUACCCUUGUCCAUCGGAUAACCCGUCGAAAGGCGGCCUAACACGAUAUGCGGUUCACGGCAGGCAUCUAAGGUGAACGAAAUGUGAAGGAGAAGGAUGGGGAUGCGUCUGAUUAGCUUGUUGGCGGGGUAACGGCCACCAAGGCUACGAUCAGUAGGGGUUCUGAGAGGAAGGUCCCCCACAUUGGAACUGAGACACGGUCCAAACGUCCUACGGGGAGCA
rnacentral:rRNA from 1 species